rnacentral:rRNA from 1 species
GAUGAACGCUGGCGGCGUGCCUAAUACAUGCAAGUCGAGCGAAUGGAUUGAGAGCUUGCUCUCAAGAAGUUAGCGGCGGACGGGUGAGUAACACGUGAGUAACCUGCCCAUAAGACUGGGAUAACUCCGGGAAACCGGGGCUAAUACCGGAUAACAUUUUGAACUGCAUGGUUCGAAAUUGAAAGGCGGCUUCGGCUGUCACUUAUGGAUGGACCCGCGUCGCAUUAGCUAGUUGGUGAGGUAACGGCUCACCAAGGCAACGAUGCGUAGCCGACCUGAGAGGGUGAUCGGCCACACUGGGACUGAGACACGGCCCAGACUCCUACGGGAGGCAGCAGUAGGGAAUCUUCCGCAAUGGACGAAAGUCUGACGGAGCAACGCCGCGUGAGUGAUGAAGGCUUUCGGGUCGUAAAACUCUGUUGUUAGGGAAGAACAAGUGCUAGUUGAAUAAGCUGGCACCUUGACGGUACCUAACCAGAAAGCCACGGCUAACUACGUGCCAGCAGCCGCAGUAACAC